AAUAAUAUCUAAAUAUAUAUUUCAAAUCACUAGUUAGAUCUAUGACAUCUAUGACGAAUGAUUUUUUGGUCAGAUUUACAAUGACUAAAUCUAAACACAUCAAAAAUGUGUUUCGUUUAUGAAAAUAAUUUGGGUACAUGGUAAGUAGAGUCGACGAUUCGAUUCGUUAACUACAGCUGGUGAAAAGGAAGUAUAAUACUUAUCACGAUAACUAAUGGAUAAAUUGCUGAAAGGUAGAUGGAAAAACCUGAUAGAGACGAAAAUUUGAGUUAAGAUUAUUUAAGAAACCCCCUUUUUCAUAUCAAUCAAGCUCGAAGUAAAAUUCAGCGACGUUAUCAUAAGGAAAAUCAAAAUGUUAUAAUUUUCAGCUUCGGUGGGCGGUAUUAAGGGAGCUGUUUGCACUGUUCAAAAGUGAUAUAUCACAAAAUUACGCAGGAAGGUCCGCCACGGCAGUCAAAGGCUUUCAAAGUACUGCAGGUUAUCACCGGGACCCAGGAGACGCAGUAAUCUGAAAUUAAGAAAACAAUGAUAAUAAAAAAUAUUAUUAUUUAUCAUUUUUCUCGUAUUCGCAAACACCACGAAGUGUUUGCUCGCAACAUAAAUUUUAUCACAAUUAUGAAAUAUAUCGUAUAAUAUACGAUAUAAUAUCAAAUUAAAUAUAAUAUUAUUAUGGUUUAAUAUUUGAUAUAUUUGAAGUGUAUAACUUAUUAGAAUAAUUUUUGAUUAUAAAAUAAGUAUGUAUUGUUAAAACCGGUUUACCUUUACCUAAAUGAAUCAACGUAACUAACUAUAUUAUAAUGAUCAAAUAACUAUUCAUUUCGUAAACACGAAAAGUGAAAAUAUUUUUAAAAAUCUAUGUUUUUAUAAUAAUUAUACUAUAGAUUUUUUCGCGGGAAAUUAACGAGCUAAAUGUAUAUUUACAAGGCAUAAAAUACUUUGUUUAACUUAUUGUUAUAAAUAAAAAUAUUAAUUAAUUCUCUUAUUUAUUAGAUAGUUAAUUAUUAAGAUUAUUUUAACGUGCUUAAAUUGUGAUCAUACUAAUAAAGCUCAUUUAAAAAGGAAUACGGCUAAUCACCAAAGAUUAAUUAAGAUUUAUUUUUAAUUAACUAAAUUACCUAUCGAUUUAUAUUUAGAUUAAGAAAAUAGUUUAUUUAGAUAAAUAAAAUUACAUGUAAAAUUAAAAGUUACCAUAUGAAUGUAAAUUUAUUCUUAUUUGACAAAAUAAUAAUAAAAUUUAAUUGCGUUAUUAAUUCCCUUUUAUUAUUAUGUAAGUAUAGCUUUUAUAAAUGAAUUAUCACUAACAAAAUUAAUCUUUUUUAUAUUUUGUAUUAUAUUACAAGUAUUCCUUAUUUUUAUCACAUACCUAUAUUUAUUAAUAUCUGCUAUAUAAUAUGUAUUUGUUUCAUAUUACUGAUCUGUAUUUUUAAAAUAUAAUAUAUCAUAAAUAUAUAAAAUUAUACCCAUUAUACUAACAAAUACCUAACAGAUUAACAAAAUUCCGAUCAACGGGUUCCUAUAAUAUUUUAAUAACUCAGUACCCGAUAAUAAUUGUCCUGGUUUGUGUUUGUGAUUAACCAAAACAAUGGAAAUCAUUACUGACGAUUUAUAACAUCACUGAUUGUUAUAAUAAUUAUGUAUAUUCCCCUUGAGAUCUUAUAAUAAAAUUCUGGGGGAAGUUUUUUUUUUACGUUACUCCUCGCAAACUUUUCAUUAACUUUUUUUAAUAAUUUCUAUCGUCAACUUAGUGUUAGAUAUUAUAUACUGACAUCAUACUAAUGGAUAUUAUAUUUUAUAAUUUAUAUUAAAAAAAAUCUUAUUUAUUUACAAAUUAAUUAUAUAGCAAUUACUAUAGUAAAAUAUCAUAUUAUUAUUGUAUUUUAUCUAAAACCUAAUUGUUUAUAAAUUAAUAAAUUAAUAAUAAAUUAAUUUAUCAUAUUUAAUAUAGUUAUAUGUUUUAAAAACAAUUAAUUGAUGUUAUAAUCGUCAGAAAAUGUUCAAACAGACGAGGGGUGUGGCAAUCUAGUCAGUGUGAUCUUUAUAUAAGUAUUUAAGUAUUUUCAAAUUUAUUUUAUAUGAAUUUACUUUUAUAUUGCAAUUUAUUAUAAGGCAUAGCUAAUAAUAUUGUAUUUAUAAUUUAUGUGUACUAUUUUAGUAUGUAAGUAUGAGAUAGUUAUCAAUUAAAAUGUAUUUAAUGGUUAA